AUGGCGAUGCGGGGACGCGGGCGGCGGAGCCGCGGUCGGGGCCGUGGGGCGAUCGGGGCCUCGCGUGAUGGCGGCGCGGAGCAGCAGGAGGAGGAGCAGCAGGAGCCGCCCCGCGUUUGUUACAGGGUGACUCGGUUCUGCCCGCAGUGCGGCGGCGGCGUGGAGCCCACCUUCAGGUUCUGCCCGGCCUGCGGCGACAGACUGCCAGCACCGCCGCCACCGAGGGACGAGGCCGGCCCGCCACCACCGCAGGCCCCGAGCCCCGCGGCCGCCGCCGGGGAUGAGCGGAGCGCGGCCGUGCCGGUGCUCUCCCCGCCGGCCGCCCGCACCCCGCCCCGCCCGCCGUGUCUCGCGGCGCGGCGCGGUUCCCCCUCGCCCCGCAAGGCCCGGCCCGGUCCCGCCGAGCCGCUCCCGGAGGGCGAGGAGCUGCGGGACCGCGGCGGCGGGCGCUGGCGGCUGCAGCGGCUGCUGGAGCAGGGAGGCGGCUGCGGGCUGCUCUACGAAGCACAGUCAGCAUCUGGAACCUGCCCUCAAAAGCAAAGAUUCUCCCUCAAACUUGAUGUCAAAGACAGUAAAAUCUACAAUGAACAGAACUUUUUCCAGCGAGCUGCAAAGAAAGACAGAGUGGAGAAGUGGAAGAAGCUGCACUCUUUGCCCCUGCUGGGCAUCCCCAGCUGUCUUGGCUUUGGACUGCAUGCAGAUAAAUACAGGUUUUUGGUGUUCUCUGAUUUAGGGCGAUCUCUUCAGUCCAUUCUGAAUGACAACUUACACCUGAAUGAGAAGGCAGCUUUUCAGAUUGCAGUCCGGCUGCUGGAUUGCCUGGAGUACCUUCACGAAAAUGAGUAUGUGCAUGGGGACAUCACAGCUGACAACAUCUAUGUGAACCCAGCAGACCUCACGCAGGUGACCCUCGCAGGCUACUACUUUGCCUUCCGUUACUGCCCAGAAGGGAAGCAUGUGGCUAGGCGUGAAGGCAGCAGGACUCCUCAUGAGGGCACGAUAGAGUUUAUCAGCCAGGACAGCCACAGAGGAGCAGCACCAUCUCGACGGUGUGACUUGGAAUCUCUGGGCUACUGUCUUCUGAAAUGGCUCUGCGGCUUCUUGCCUUGGUCUAAGGAGCUGGACAAAGUAGAAACUGUGAUGGAAAAGAAAGAAAUGUACAAAAAUGAUGUGACAUGCCUUCUCCAACAGUGCUUCAGCAGGCAGAGGUCGAUUCCAGCUGCCCUUCAGAGCUACCUGCAGCAAGUAAUGGCACUGGAAUAUGAGGAGAAGCCAAACUAUGAGGCCCUGCGGCAGCUCUUCAAAAAGCCACUGCAGAUGCUGAAAGCUUCAGCUUAUGACUCUGUGGAUAUCAUGGUAGUGCCCUAAGUCAAGAAAACUUGCACAGGACAACACAGUUCAGAGCUUUAUGCAGUGUGAAGCUUUUCCAAAAGAUGUUUUUGCGCUUGACUUGCCUUCGGGCAGAAUUCCUAUCACCAGCUCUAGCAUGCACUGAUGGUAAACGCGAUUCCAGGUCGGGGGGCAGGCAUGGCUCCUUGUUCAUGGCACUGCCACCAGACAGUGCUGAGGUAGGUUUGAGAGGUAUUCCGCAGCUGCCUUCCACGGAAGAUGUGGGACUGGCACCACUGACAGAAGAGUAGCCUGAGCUCCCUUCACAGCUGGGAUUUCUUGAGGCAACACAGGCUGAAAAAACUCUGCGAGUUUCAUCUGGAGUCCUGGCCUUCCUCGGCGGUGCUGCGUGCCCAGGACACUCGACAGAGAGGCUGUCCUCAUCACUGGAGUCCUGACAGCAGUGCUCUGCUGGAUCCACGUACACCACUGUCACAUCCAGGAUUCCACUGGGACUGGUGACUGAGGGAUGAGAGAAGGAAAAGGCCAGUCAGAAUUUGGGCAACACCAAGCUAACAGUCGAGCAGAGAAAAAAAGUGCAAGUGUAAACCUUGUCGAGAGGGGAGGGUAAAGGUGGAAUUUGCCCUCAUUAAAGUAAUUUAAUAUUUCCCUCUCGCCCUGUUUGGAGAGGUACUGCCCAACUUGGAAAAUGAAAGGCCAGAGCCUGUGUGUCAAUAAAACAAACAGCUGACAGCAUUCCAACACUGGCUACAGUGUGACCCAUUCAAGGCUGGUUAUGCUGUAGCAGCAUCUGAAAACACUGUCUUGGAAAUGCUGAGUGGCUGCAAAAUCCUUCAGUAAGUUCUGAAGCAGUGCAGAGAAGAAAUGUACCCUAAAAGUUUAACAACUAUAACCACUGGGGGGAGAAGGAGAGUUUCCCCAGCUGCUCUUAGGAAAGUUUAGGCUCUUCCAGAAGGAGUUUUAUGUAAAAAUAAA